UACGGAGGGAGCUAGCGUUGUUCGGAAUUACUGGGCGUAAAGCGUGCGUAGGCGGUUCGUUAAGUGCGUCGUGAAAGCCCCGGGCUCAACCUGGGAAUGGCGAUGGAAACUGGCGGGCUGGAGUAUGGCAGAGGGGGGUGGAAUUCCGCGUGUAGCAGUGAAAUGCGUAGAGAUGCGGAGGAACACCGAUGGCGAAGGCAGCCCCCUGGGCCAAUACUGACGCUCAGGCACGAAAGCGUGGGGAGCAAACAGG
rnacentral:rRNA from 1 species